AGAGUUUGAUCAUGGCUCAGGAUGAACGCUGGCGGCGUGCUUAACACAUGCAAGUCGAACGAACCUUCGGGUUAGUGGCGGACGGGUGAGUAACGCGUGAGAAUCUGCCCUCAGGAGGGGGAUAACAGUUGGAAACGACUGCUAAUACCCCAUAUGCCGAGAGGUAAAAUGAAUUUUGCCUGGGGAUGAGCUCGCGUCUGAUUAGCUUGUUGGUGGGGUAAAGGCCUACCAAGGCUUCGAUCAGUAGCUGGUCUGAGAGGACGAUCAGCCACACUGGGACUGAGACACGGCCCAGACUCCUACGGGAGGCAGCAGUGGGGAAUUUUCCGCAAUGGGCGCAAGCCUGACGGAGCAACGCCGCGUGAGGGAUGGAGGCCUUUGGGCUGUAAACCUCUUUUCUCAAGGAGGAAGAUCUGACGGUACUUGAGGAAUAAGCCACGGCCAAUUCCGUGCCAGCAGCCGCGGUAAUACGGGAGUGGCAAGCGUUAUCCGGAAUUAUUGGGCGUAAAGCGUCCGCAGGCGGCCGUUUAAGUCUGUUGUUAAAUCGUGGAGCUCAACUCCAUCACGGCAAUGGAAACUGUUCGGCUUGAGUAUGGUAGGGGCAGAGGGAAUUUCCGGUGUAGCGGUGAAAUGCGUAGAUAUCGGGAAGAACACCAGUGGC
rnacentral:rRNA from 1 species